AUGCAUCCGAGGAGGACGGCAGGCUGGGCAGACUAGUCAAUGACGAUCACAGAAAACCCAAUUGCAAAAUGAAGGUCAUUGCUGUUAAUAAUCGCCCCCACUUGUGCCUUUUCUCAAUUGAUGAAAUUUUACCUGGAGGAGAAUUGACAUAUGAUUAUGGACCAUCAGACUGGCCAUGGAGACCCCAGAGGAUCAUUACUGUCACAUCUCAGACGUCAGAAUCGCGUUUACACAAAAGUUCAGAAGAGAUGAUUACAGAUGUUGCCACCACUGAGACAUUUACACUGUGUGUCCCUGAAGCAAGUUCACAACAG